GAAGACUACAGAAGAAUACAGAAAAUAAUAUCACAAAAUCCUCACACCCAUGUUCCAGAAUUAGCAAGUGUCAAUAUUUUAUAAUGAGGACUCCAACGUUUUUAACGUAAAAUAGCAGAAGCAUCAUUAAUAAAGUGCACCUUUUCCUUUAUUUCAUCGAUGGGCAAAGUGAGGAGCAGGAGGGGCAGAACUUGGCUGACGUCCAUCCUCGGCAGCAUCCUCCCUGACCUGGAUCCUCACGAGGAGACUAUUAGGAAGCCUCGUGCGUACCUCCUUUGGGGACCCUAACAUUUGGUGUUGAAAACCCAGGAGGGUUCCACGGGGAAGGGGAGCGAUCGCUGGCCUCCCUCCCUUACGGCCAAGGAGGACACCGGAUCCUGGACCUCUCCUUCCCAUUGCUGGCCCCCGACUCAAUACCGGCUCGUUUCAUCUCCGGACUGCUUUCAAGCCUUUGCCAACCAGUCUCUUGGGGAAUCAUGCUGCUGCAACCCCCCGCUCCAACCAUGAGGAAUUUAUACAGUGUUCCAGCCAACUACAAUCAAAGUCCAUCCCCCUAUGAUCUCAAUGUCCCCCAUCAUCAGGAAGUACCUACAGAAGAUAUGACCUCCAUCCCUAUCCCAUAAAACAAAAAGGCUGGAAUGUUAGGUCUGAUCAAAUGAUUGAAUCCAUACCCCCUCUCCUGAGAACUGACCUUUAGGUCACUUCACAACCAACAUUCCCUUUUGCUUAGACCAUAUUUCACUUGCUAAGACCAUCAACCUUCUCCUCCGGUCCUUCCCAGGAUCCGGACUCACCCAGAGAAUUCUCCGCCCAGAAAAAGGCUACCCAGAGUCCUUUAUAACCUCUGACUCCCCAUCCCUGGGUGCUGGAGCCAUUUUGGGACUCAGCCCAUCUGAGUUUCCAGAUGAUAUAAUAAAUGUAUAAU